rnacentral:rRNA from 1 species
GCUGCAGGCUUAACACAUGCAAGUCGAGGGGAAACGAUAUUGGAAGCUUGCUUCCGAUAGGCGUCGACCGGCGCACGGGUGAGUAACGCGUAUCCAACCUGCCCACCACUUGGGGAUAACCUUGCGAAAGUAAGACUAAUACCCAAUGAUAUCUCUAGAAGACAUCUGAAAGAGAUUAAAGAUUUAUCGGUGAUGGAUGGGGAUGCGUCUGAUUAGCUUGUUGGCGGGGUAACGGCCCACCAAGGCAACGAUCAGUAGGGGUUCUGAGAGGAAGGUCCCCCACAUUGGAACUGAGACACGGUCCAAACUCCUACGGGAGGCAGCAGUGAGGAAUAUUGGUCAAUGGACGAGAGUCUGAACCAGCCAAGUAGCGUGCAGGAAGACGGCCCUAUGGGUUGUAAACUGCUUUUAUAAGGGAAUAAAGUGAGUCUCGUGAGACUUUUUGCAUGUACCUUAUGAAUAAGGACCGGCUAAUUCCGUGCCAGCAGCCGCGGUAAUACGGAAGGUCCGGGCGUUAUCCGGAUUUAUUGGGUUUAAAGGGAGCGUAGGCCGGAGAUUAAGCGUGUUGUGAAAUGUAGACGCUCAACGUCUGCACUGCAGCGCGAACUGGUUUCCUUGAGUACGCACAAAGUGGGCGGAAUUCGUGGUGUAGCGGUGAAAUGCUUAGAUAUCACGAAGAACUCCGAUUGCGAAGGCAGCUCACUGGAGCGCAACUGACGCUGAAGCUCGAAAGUGCGGGUAUCGAACAGGAUUAGAUACCCUGGUAGUCCGCACGGUAAACGAUGGAUGCCCGCUGUUGGUCUGAAUAGGUCAGCGGCCAAGCGAAAGCAUUAAGCAUCCCACCUGGGGAGUACGCCGGCAACGGUGAAACUCAAAGGAAUUGACGGGGGCCCGCACAAGCGGAGGAACAUGUGGUUUAAUUCGAUGAUACGCGAGGAACCUUACCCGGGCUUGAAUUGCAGAGGAAGGAUUUGGAGACAAUGACGCCCUUCGGGGCCUCUGUGAAGGUGCUGCAUGGUUGUCGUCAGCUCGUGCCGUGAGGUGUCGGCUUAAGUGCCAUAACGAGCGCAACCCCUCUCCUUAGUUGCCAUCAGGUCAAGCUGGGCACUCUGGGGACACUGCCACCGUAAGGUGUGAGGAAGGUGGGGAUGAC